rnacentral:rRNA from 1 species
GUUGAACGCUGGCGGCAUGCCUAACACAUGCAAGUCGAGCGGAUGAAGGUAGCCUUCUCCUGGAUUCAGUGGCCGACGGUCGAGUAAGUCCUAGGAGUCUGCCUUGUAGUGGGGUAUAGCGUCAGGAUACGGGCUCUGAUCUCACACACGUCCUGUGGGAGAACGUGAGGGCUCUUCGGAUCUCACGCUCUUAGCUGCGCCUUGGUGGUAUUCGCUAGUUGGUGGGGUAAAGGCCUACCAAGGCGACUAUCCGUAACUGGUCUGAGAGGAUGAUCAGUCACACUGGAAAUGGGAAACGGUCAAGAUCCCUAAGGGAGGCAGAAGUGGGGAAUAUUGGAAAAUGGGGGAAAGCCUGAUCCAGCCCUGCCGGGGGUGUGUAGAAGGUCUUCGGAUUGUAAAGGACUUUAAGUUGGGAGGAAAGGCAGUAAAUUAAUACCUUGCUGUUUGGACGUUACCAACAGAAUAAGCACCGGCUAACUUCGU